rnacentral:rRNA from 1 species
CAGUCGCCACGGGAAUACGUAGGUCCCGAGCGUUGUCCGGAUUUAUUGGGCGUAAAGCGUGCGCAGGCGGUUGUGUAAGACAGGUGUGAAAUCCCCGGGCUUAACCUGGGAACUGCGCUUGUGACUGCACAGCUAGAGUAUGGCAGAGGGGGGUGGAAUUCCACGUGUAGCAGUGAAAUGCGUAGAGAUGUGGAGGAACACCAGUGGCGAAGGCGACUCUCUGGUCUGUAACUGACGCUGAGGAGCGAAAGCGUGGGGAGCGAACAGGAUUAGAUACCCCCGUAGUCCCUGUCUCUUAUAC